rnacentral:tRNA from 1 species
GGCCCCUUAGCUCAGGUGGUCAGAGCAGGCGACUCAUAAUCGCUUGGUCGCUGGUUCAAAUCCAGCAGGGGCCACAA